rnacentral:rRNA from 1 species
CCUACCUCUUAGCAGGGAUAACAUUUGGAAACAAAUGCUAAUACCGUAUAAUAAUUAAACCGCAUGGUUUUAGUUUAAAAGAUGGUCUUGCUAUCACUAAGAGAUGGUCCCGCGGUGUAUUAGUUAGUUGGUGAGGUAAAUGGCUCACCAAGACAAUGAUACAUAGCCGAGUUGAGAGACUGACCGGCCACAAUGGGACUGAGACACGGCCCAUACUCCUACGGGAGGCAGCAGUAGGGAAUCUUCCACAAUGGACGAAAGUCUGAUGGAGCAACGCCGCGUGUGUGAUGAAGGGUUUCGGCUCGUAAAACACUGUUGUAAGAGAAGAAUGACAUUGAGAGUAACUGUUCAAUGUGUGACGGUAUCUUACCAGAAAGGAACGGCUAAAUACGUG